GAGGGUGUAGCUCAGUGGCAGAGUGCAGUGCUUAGCAUGCACGAGGUCCUGGGUUCAACCCCUGGUACUGCCA
rnacentral:tRNA from 1 species